CGAUGGAUAGGGGUUCUGAGAGGAAGGUCCCCCACAUUGGAACUGAGACACGGUCCAAACUCCUACGGGAGGCAGCAGUGAGGAAUAUUGGUCAAUGGGCGAGAGCCUGAACCAGCCAAGUAGCGUGAAGGAUGACUGCCCUAUGGGUUGUAAACUUCUUUUAUAAAGGAAUAAAGUCGGGUAUGGAUACCCGUUUGCAUGUACUUUAUGAAUAAGGAUCGGCUAACUCCGUGCCAGCAGCCGCGGUAAUACGGAGGAUCCGAGCGUUAUCCGGAUUUAUUGGGUUUAAAGGGAGCGUAGAUGGAUGUUUAAGUCAGUUGUGAAAGUUUGCGGCUCAACCGUAAAAUUGCAGUUGAUACUGGAUAUCUUGAGUGCAGUUGAGGCAGGCGGAAUUCGUGGUGUAGCGGUGAAAUGCUUAGAUAUCACGAAGAACUCCGAUUGCGAAGGCAGCCUGCUAAGCUGCAACUGACAUUGAGGCUCGAAAGUGUGGGUAUCAAACAGGAUUAGAUACCCUGGUAGUCCACACGGUAAACGAUGAAUACUCGCUGUUUGCGAUAUACUGCAAGCGGCCAAGCGAAAGCGUUAAGUAUUCCACCUGGGGAGUACGCCGGCAACGGUGAAACUCAAAGGAAUUGACGGGGGCCCGCACAAGCGGAGGAACAUGUGGUUUAAUUCGAUGAUACGCGAGGAACCUUACCCGGGCUUAAAUUGCAGAUGAAUUACGGUGAAAGCCGUAAGCCGCAAGGCAUCUGUGAAGGUGCUGCAUGGUUGUCGUCAGCUCGUGCCGUGAGGUGUCGGCUUAAGUGCCAU
rnacentral:rRNA from 1 species